UGCUCGACGUACGCUGGCGGCACGCCUAACACAUGCAAGUCGAACGCAGUAGCAAUACUGAGUGGCAGACGGGUGAGUAACAUGUGGGAAUCUGCCUUGUGGUUCAGGACAACAUUGGGAAACCGAUGCUAAUACUGGAUAAGCCCUUACGGGGAAAGUUUUAAUGCCAUAAGAUGAGCCCGCAUUUGAUUAGUUAGUUGGUGAGGUAAUGGCUCACCAAGACAAUGAUCAAUAGCUGAUCUGAGAGGAUGAUCAGCCACACUGGGACUGAGACACGGCCCAGACUCCUACGGGAGGCAGCAGUGGGGAAUCUUGCACAAUGGAGGAAACUCUGAUGCAGCGAUGCCGCGUGAGUGAAGAAGGCCUUUGGGUUGUAAAGCUCUUUUGUAGGGGAAGAUAAUGACUGUACCCUAAGAAUAAGGUCCGGCUAACUUCGUGCCAGCAGCCGCGGUAAUACGAAGGGACCUAGCGUAGUUCGGAAUUACUGGGCGUAAAGCGCGCGUAGGCCGUUGAGUUAGUUAAUUGUGAAAUCCCAAAGCUUAACUUUGGAACUGCAAUUAAAACUGCUCGACUAGAGUUUGAUAGAGGAAAGCGGAAUACAUAGUGUAGAGGUGAAAUUCGUAGAUAUUAUGUAGAACACCAGUUGCGAAGGCGGCUUUCUGGAUCAACACUGACGCUGAGGCGCGAAAGUAUGGGUAGCAAAGAGGAUUAGAUACCCUCGUAGUCCAUACCAUAAACGAUGAUUGCUAGAUGUUGGAAAUUUAUUUUCAGUAUCGCAGCUAACGCAUUAAGCAAUCCGCCCUGGGGAGUACGACCGCAAGGUU
rnacentral:rRNA from 1 species